GUCUAGGGCCACACCACCCUGAAUGCACCUGGAAGCUAAGCAGGGUCGGGCCUAGUUAGUACCUGGAAGGUAAUGAGGUUAAUUCAAUUAUUAUGUGAUUUUUAAAAACGAAACCUUAGAACCUCACACG
rnacentral:rRNA from 1 species